UACAGAGGGGGCAAGCGUUGUUCGGAAUUACUGGGCGUAAAGGGCGCGUAGGCGGCCUUCUAAGUCGAACGUGAAAUCCCCGGGCUCAACCCGGGAACUGCGUCCGAUACUGGAAGGCUUGAAUCCGGGAGAGGGAUGUGGAAUUCCAGGUGUAGCGGUGAAAUGCGUAGAGAUCGGGAGGAACAUCAGUGGCGAAGGCGGCCAUCUGGGACAACACUGACGCUGAAGCACGAAAGCGUGGGGAGCAAACAGG
rnacentral:rRNA from 1 species